UAACAUCUGGUAAAUAUUGCAACCUUCUGACCUUUUGUCUUUCUGUUAUGUAUGCGGAUGUCUUUGGAAUUUCACAGUACAGUGUCUCCGUCUUCAUGUUGCUAUAAGCCAGAGUUGCUCAUAAAACUAAGAAAAAAAUAAAUAAAAUUCUGUUAAAUGGUCAUUCACCAAAGAAACGCAAACUGGGCAUCAAGAAGAAGACUGCACCAAUAGAAUACAUAACAUAGGAGCAUUGCCAUUGCCUUUACCACCACUUUCUUCCUUUCUGUGCAAAUAUCACACACACGGUACAAAAUCAUUUGUCCCAUGUGGGGUCACGGGGAGCUGGAGCUAUACUCAGCAACACAGAGUGUAAGGCUGGAGGAGGAGGGGACACACCCAGGACGGGACACCACUCCGUUGCAAGGUACCCCAAUGAGGACUCGAACCCUAGACCCACUGAAGAGCAGGACCCGGUCAAACCCACUGCGCCACCCCACCCCCUAUGCAAAUAGCACGAUGUGACCAUACGAAAUAUAUGUAAGACAGUUGUCAAACACGUUGAACCCUUGAGGUACUCUAUUAUAAACUGCUCCAGUAAAACAGGUAAAAAUAGUGAACUGUAUUAACAGGGUACAUCUCAUAGUGGCAUUGGAGAAAAAGUCUCAGCUUAGUAAACAAAGGUUCUCACGAAAUUAAGCUGUUUCAGCUUGAGACAAGAACCAAGUUCCGAAAAAACAGAACGUGCACUUUCUGAAGAUACGCGCGCGCGCACACACGCCCGCGCGCACACGCACACACACCUUUCCGCGGUGGCACUGUCUUGUCUCGGUCCACGCCACGGGGCUUUAGGAGGUUUCUGCGGGAUCUUCACACAUCGCCAUGCGGAACAGGUGAACACCGAGCGGGCACAGGUGUGUUUCACGGGAAGACACGAUCGGGAGCGCGCGCGCGCACACGCAUUGAAGCAUGUGUGGUGUGGAUGUGGACCUGGAGGAUGGCGCUGGCAAGAAGAAGGAAGAACAGGACGAAGAGUGUGAGAUGGGGGAGCGCACACACAUGUUACCUGCUCCUCCGGAGCUGAGCGACGCCGAAGUGUGCGGCGGCCGGCGGGGACGCUGCGGCUGCCUGGCCUGGGGGGCACUGCUGCUGCUCUGGAAUGUGUCCGUGGCUCUGGUCUGCGUGCUCAUCAUGGGGACCGUGUUCGCCCUGGUGCUUCUGCCCACCGCGCUGCUGCUGUAUGCUGGCUUCCUCUGUCACUCAAGGGUGCUCAACUCAUCUGCCCCACUCUGCCUUUAUCUGAACGACAACAGCUGCUCUGCUCUCAUCAUCCUUGGGUUUGUGAUGAUGUCACCGCUUGUCGUGAUCGCCGCAGCGACCUUCUGCACCCUGGCUCUCAGACUCCGCCUCCUCCUGCUGUUUCAGCCAAUGGCAUGGGCUUGGCACCAUGGAAGUGGUUGGACCAGGGGUGGUAGUGUACGAGCUUGGGUCUAACCGGGUCUCAUGCACACAUACGCCACGGUGGACGCUGUCACAAACAAGCUACACAGUGAUGGGUGUUAUUAAGAUGCAUUGUGGCGACUCAGUCAGCAUGAAUGUAGGUCGAAUUCAACAGUUUAAUAUUCAAUAGAGCCACUGAGUCUACAUGGUGUAUAUUAUAUGUUAAACUGUCAUUUUGUGUUGUGUUUUAACACCAAAUCAUGUAUUGUUCAGGUGGAUAUGUCAUGUACAUAAUGUGAUUCUUGUAAUGUAAUAAUGUAAGUCUUUCUAGUAGAAGUGCAAUGUAAAAGCCUCUUAUUUUUCACAAUAUUUGUCCAGAUGGACAUAGGUGAAGAAAUAAACUUGCUGAUCGCUUGAGAAUUAAGUGCA
rnacentral:lncRNA from 1 species